rnacentral:lncRNA from 1 species
AGAAGCAGAAAGAUGGAUACAACUCUAAUUUUGUCUUGUUUUUACUUUAAUACAGUUCCUGGUGAGAGGCUUUAAUAAUCAUUUUGAAAAAGCAUGUCCCUAAAUUAUGCUACGUCAAAAUUAUAAACAGUAUCAAAGGAGGAAAUAGCUGUCAAAUUUUUGUUUCCAGUCAAAUGCCAAUGAAGCUUGGUCAGUUUUGGGAUAACUCUCUACUGGAAUGCAGAAACAACCCAAACAGGUAAUGUUCUGGAUGUAGCUUGCUUCAGGCAUAUGUAUUGGCUGUUUGGCAUCCAUUGCUAAGGAAGAACAAGUUGGUAUUGAUGCUGAAAGGCAAUGUCCUACUCUCACCUUGCCAUGGGCAAAUUAUUCCUCAUCCUCUGCAUACCAGUUUCUUAUGCCAUACAAAGAACAAGAGCGAGGAAAUGGCUUGGUUUAAAAAACUAACCCAGAAAAGAAACAAAACAAAAACAACUAAUAAUCUUAUCCUGGAGCACCUUAUCCAUCUGAUGGAGUGGAAGCACAGAACAGCAUCAGCCACAGGCUCAGUGGCAGUGCCGGCAUCUGCUUAUCCAAAGUGAGUGUACAUCACUUGCCCUAGAGGCAGCAGAAUGCACAUCUCCCUUUCUAUUUCCUUUCCUUGGAGUCACAUCUAAAUUUUCUAAAUGAGAACUGCGUAAUUCAAAGCACGUUACUUUCUGACUCUGCAAUCCAGAAAAUGAUCAAGAAAUGUGAACUGUGUUGAGUCACUGUAGUGAUCCACUGCUUGAAACCCAACAGCACUAUUACUACUAAUAGCACACAUUAACUGUUUCAGAACUAAUCUGCAAAUUUCUAUCAAUUCUGUGUGCUAGUCAGAUAAAUGAAUAUAUAUGCACAUACAAUGUUCUUCUUGAUAACUUCUUUUGAUAUUUUUCUUGAUUAAAAAGCAUAAUAACACAAUACAUAGCCUGAGAACUACAGAAAAUUAGAUAAUUCUACCAGCAAAUUUUGAGUUAGGGUGAAGAUGAAGCAAUAGGGAAAUUGGAAGAUAUAGAUCCCUGUUAUUCUGUAAAUUUCUCUGUAGAAAAGAAAUAAUAAUUUCCUUGAAAACUAUGAUAUUCCUCUCCAUUUAAGUUCUCUCUCACCCUAUAACAAUUUCUUAAUACUACAUCUGUUAUUUACCAGUGCCUUUUCUGAACUGACAGCCUCAUUCUUCCAGACACAGUGUUCCUCCUGCAGCUUGUUUGCCUCAUGGUGAUGCAUCCCCCCAGGCCCUCUGUGAGCUCCCAUUCUCAGAU